UGGGGAAUUUUGGACAAUGGGCGAAAGCCUGAUCCAGCCAUGCCGCGUGAGUGAAGAAGGCCUUCGGGUUGUAAAGCUCUUUCAGCCGGAAAGAAAUCGCGCAGGCUAAUACUCUGCGUGGAUGACGGUACCGGAAGAAGAAGCACCGGCUAACUACGUGCCAGCAGCCGCGGUAAUACGUAGGGUGCGAGCGUUAAUCGGAAUUACUGGGCGUAAAGCGUGCGCAGGCGGUUAUAUAAGACAGAUGUGAAAUCCCCGGGCUCAACCUGGGAACUGCGUUUGUGACUGUAUGACUAGAGUACGGCAGAGGGAGGUGGAAUUCCGCGUGUAGCAGUGAAAUGCGUAGAUAUGCGGAGGAACACCGAUGGCGAAGGCAGCCUCCUGGGCCAGUGCUGACGCUCAUGCACGAAAGCGUGGGGAGCAAACA
rnacentral:rRNA from 1 species